rnacentral:rRNA from 1 species
GUCCAUGCCGUAAACGAUGAUCACUAGCUGUUUGCGAUAUAUUGUAAGUGGCAAAGGGAAACCAUUAAGUGAUCCACCUGGGGGAGUACGCCCGCAAGGGUGAAACUCAAAGGAAUUGACGGGGGCCCGCACAAGCGGAGGAACAUGUGGUUUAAUUCGAUGAUACGCGAGGAACCUUACCUGGAUUUAAAUGGGGAUGACAGGGGUAGAGAUACCUUUUUCUUCGGACACUCUUCAAGGUGCUGCAUGGUUGUCGU